GUGGAUUAGAUACCCUGGUAGUCCUAGCCGUAAACGAUGGGUACUAGGUGUGGGGGGUGUCAACUCCUCCCGUGCCGGCGCUAACGCAAUAAGUACCCCGCCUGGGGAGUACGGCCGCAAGGUUGAAACUCAAAGGAAUUGACGGGGGCCCGCACAAGCGGUGGAGUAUGUGGUUUAAUUCGACGCAACGCGAAGAACCUUACCAGGGUUUGACAUCCACUGAAUACGUAAGAGAUUACGUCGGCCCUUUCGGGGGACAGUGAGACAGGUGGUGCACGGCCGUCGCCAACU
rnacentral:rRNA from 1 species